UACGUAGGGGGCUAGCGUUGUCCGGAAUCAUUGGGCGUAAAGAGCGUGUAGGCGGCCCGGUAAGUCCGCUGUAAAAGUCAAAGGCUCAACCUUUGAAUGUCAGUGGAUACUGCCGGGCUAGAGUCCGGAAGAGGCGAGUGGAACUCCUGGUGUAGCGGUGGAAUGCGCAGAUAUCAGGAAGAACACCAACGGCGAAGGCAGCUCGCUGGGGACGGUACUGACGCUGAGACGCGAAAGCGUGGGGGAGCGAACAGG
rnacentral:rRNA from 1 species